GAGCACGCGAUCGAUCAGUUGAU
rnacentral:siRNA from 1 species